GAUGAACGCUGGCGGCGUGCCUAAUACAUGCAAGUCGAGCGAACGGACGAGAAGCUUGCUUCUCUGAUGUUAGCGGCGGACGGGUGAGUAACACGUGGAUAACCUACCUAUAAGACUGGGAUAACUUCGGGAAACCGGAGCUAAUACCGGAUAAUAUUUUGAACCGCAUGGUUCAAAAGUGAAAGACGGUCUUGCUGUCACUUAUAGAUGGAUCCGCGCUGCAUUAGCUAGUUGGUAAGGUAACGGCUUACCAAGGCAACGAUGCAUAGCCGACCUGAGAGGGUGAUCGGACACACUGGAACUGAGACACGGCCCCGACUCCUACGGGAGGCAGCAGUAGGGAAUCUUCCGCAAUGGGCGAAAGCCUGACGGAGCAACGCCGCGUGAGUGAUGAAGGUCUCCGGAUCGUAAAACUCUGUUAUUAGGGAAGAACAUAUGUGUAAGUAACUGUGCACAUCUUGACGGUACCUAAUCAGAAAGCCACAGCUAACUACGUG
rnacentral:rRNA from 1 species